UACGUAGGGUGCGAGCGUUGUCCGGAAUUACUGGGCGUAAAGAGCUCGUAGGUGGUUUGUCGCGUUGUUCGUGAAAUCUCACGGCUUAACUGUGAGCGUGCGGGCGAUACGGGCAGACUGGAGUACUGCAGGGGAGACUGGAAUUCCUGGUGUAGCGGUGGAAUGCGCAGAUAUCAGGAGGAACACCGGUGGCGAAGGCGGGUCUCUGGGCAGUAACUGACGCUGAGGAGCGAAAGCUAGGGGAGCAAACGGG
rnacentral:rRNA from 1 species